UGUCAUGUAAAAUUUGAUUGAGUUAGGAAAAUCCUAUUUUGAUAUACUUGUCCCAAGAUGAGUAGAAGAAUUUUGGGAGGUUAUCGCACAAAUCUGAUCUGUACUCUUUUGGGUUGGUUAUGUUGGAGGUUUUGUGCAGGAAGGAAGUGUGUUUAUCGACAGGAAACAAGCAGGUGGAGAUUGUGAGUAUCUUGUGAAAUGGGCCUUUGAUAAUGAAAGCAAGGGGGUUCCUGAGAAGAUUGUUGAUUCAUCUUUACUGGGAAAAAUAGCACCUGCUUGUUGGGAAGUGUUCAUUGAGAUCGUUCAGAGAUGUUUGGCUUCAGUUGAAGAGAGGCCAUGGAUGGGUGAAGUGGAGGUGGUUCUUGAAAUUUUUGCACUGCUGUUGCAAGAGAGGGUAGAUGCUGUGAAGCUAAUCAGUACCAUAAACCUCAAACCGCGGCGAUCCAGCAAGACUGAAUAAUUGAAACCUCAAACCAUCUUCAUCCCCUCUUUCAAGCAUUUCCAAAACCCUAGUUUCUGCUCCACUCAACAAUCCCUCACUCUUCACACUCCCUCACUCUUCAUGGCUUAUACUUGGAACUUGGAGUGGCAUAACUAGCGUUGAAGAUCGAUUACAGAUAUCUGAUAGCACAAUGGGAAUAAUGAAGUGUUUGUUUGUGUACUCUAUUUAAAAGAAAAGGUGAGUGUUAUUACUCUCUUAGUUUAUUGUUUUCUCUCUCUGCUUUUUUCUGUUGGGUUUCAGAGUCUGUCCUUUUUCUCACUUCGAUAAAUUAAUACAGUAUAUGGUCUGAGAUUGAUUAAAUGUGAUUCCAACUGAAUUUGAUGUGACAUUUGAAGCAACACUUAACAGACACGGUGUUGGAAUUUGUACUUUCUACUGCUGUGGGGCACGAAUGUUAUUAACGGGCUCUACUCUAGGUGGCGUGUACUAUGGAGGCACAUUAAUCGUUACUUUAUUUUACCAUUGGGUACGCUGGCGGUGAUGGAAGUGAUAAAACCUAAGUUUGGAGCGGCAAAUUUCCCCAUUUGGGAUAGUUUUAAAAACUUUUUUUCCAAAUGGGGUGGUUUUAAAACUAUUUUUUCAAGGGGGCACUUUUCUACGUGGUUGCAUGCAUGGUGCAAGCAAACCAUCAGUGGGACUGGCGGGUUUGCUACUGCUGCCUGGACUCGCCAUUGACAACAGCGAGUUGCACAUGCACAGGAACAAAUCGCCCUUGCCAUUGGCGAUAUAGCUGGAAGGUGGAACCGCCAAUCAAACUGGCGAGUUCCAGGGUACAGGCUUUUGCAGGUGGCAGAGGUGAUGCGCAGUGUUUGCAGGCCAAAAGGCAAGUUGCAACUGCCAUUGGCGAUUUCAUGGCAAGUUGCAACUGCCAUUGGCGGUUUAAGGCCAAGUAGCCAUUCCAAAUAGCGAUUCAGUGCCUUUAUAUACUCGGAAAAAAAACCCUCAGUGUGUGUUCAAAACUGCUAAACCCUCAGUGUGUGUUCAAAACUGCUUAGUUGUGUCUUGAAAACUCAGUGGUGGUGUUUUUUCCCAAAGUGAGUUCGUUGUGUAUUCAAAACUGCAAAUUGUUAGUGUUGGUGCUGUGCUUUGAAAGUUACAUUUCAAUUUUCAAAAA